rnacentral:lncRNA from 1 species
UGGCAGUGCCACUGUCCCUGUUAGUGACAGCUCAGUCAAUGGCAGUGCCACUGUCCCCAUUAGUGACAGCCCGGCUGGGAGCAGUGCCACUGUCCCCCUUAGUGACAUCAUAGACAAUGGCAAUGCCACUGUCCCUGUUAGUGACAGCCUGGCUGGGGGCAGUGCCACCGUCCCUGUUAGUGACAGCUCAGUCAAUGGCAGUGCCACUGUCCCCGUUAGUGACAGCCCGGUCAAUGGCACUGACACGGUUCCCCUUGGGGACAGCUCAGUCAGUGUCAGUGCCACUGUCCCCAUUAGUGACAGCCUGGUCAAUGGCAGUGCCACUGUCCCCGUUAGUGACAGCUCUGUCAGUGUCAGUGCCAGUGUCCCCAUUAGUGACAGCCUGGUCAGUGGCAGUGCCACUGUCCCCGUUAGUGAUAGCUCAGUCAGUGUCAGUGCCACUGUCCCCCUUAGUGACAGCUCGGUCAAUGGCACUGACACUGUUCCCCUUGGGGACAGCUCAGUCAAUGGCAGUGCCACUGUACCCCCUGGGGACAGCUUGGUCAGUGUCAGUGCCACCAUCCCCCUUGGAGACAACUCGGUCAAUGGCAGUGCCACUAUCCCCCUUGGGGACAAUGGCAGUGCCAGUGUUCCCCUUAGUGACAUCCUGGUCAGUGGCAAUGACACUGUCCCCCCUGGGGACAGCUCCGUCAGUGGCAGUGCCACCACUCCCCUUGGGGACAGCCNGUGUCCCUCCGUCCCUGGGACCCCCCCUGUCCUGGUGUCCCUCUGUCCUGGUGUCCCUCUGUCCCUGGGACCCCCCCUUCCUGGUGUCCCCCUGUCCUGCUGUCCCCCUGUCCUGGUCUCCUGCUGUCCCCCUGUGCUGCUGUCCUCCUGUCCUGGUCUCCUGCUGUCCCCCUGUCCUGCUGUCCCCCUGUCCCCAGCCCUGCCGGGGUCACUGCCGGUCUCCCUGUCCCAUUUCCGUGGCCCCUGUCCGUGCCCACGAUUCCCAUUAG